rnacentral:rRNA from 1 species
UACGUAGGGUGCAAGCGUUGUCCGGAAUUAUUGGGCGUAAAGAGCUCGUAGGCGGUUUGUCGCGUCUGCUGUGAAAACGCGAGGCUCAACCUCGCGCCUGCAGUGGGUACGGGCAGACUAGAGUGCGGUAGGGGAGAUUGGAAUUCCUGGUGUAGCGGUGGAAUGCGCAGAUAUCAGGAGGAACACCGAUGGCGAAGGCAGAUCUCUGGGCCGUAACUGACGCUGAGGUGCGAAAGCGUGGGGAGCAAACAGG